AAUCAAGUCGUCACUCGACACUUGUUUAUAAUAAAAUCGUAAUCUCGCCGUGUUGUAAAUAUUGAAACAAGCUGAGAUAGAUCUCCUGCAGUUGCUGAAUGUGGAAUUACUGCAUACCAGGCGAAACGAAGAAUUUUAUUCGGAAUAAUUAGUGAAGUUGUUCUCGGCGAACGAGUAUUCGAUAAUUACAUGUAAAUUUAAUGUUGUUUCAAUCUACGAGUGGCGUGAUAUGUGAUAGUAAAAGUGUUACACGGAAUUCAAGAUUAUCAACCGGCAGCAUGAUGCUUGGAAAGAAAAAUGAUUUACAAAAUGGACGAAUUUCCAUGGCUGAAGUGAAAAAUAAAGAUGAAGGAUGAAUUGCCAGAUAGCAGUAGGACAAUGAUAUUUCUAUCAUUUAUUGCUAGUUCCAGUUGAUCCUUGACCCCAAAAAUGCCAAAAUUGCGCUAAAACUGCAACAAUCAACAAGUAAGUGUAACUUUUAUUCUACAAGUGCUGGAAAGUGGCGGCCAUUUUGUUAGAAGUAGAAACAAGACACGUACGAAAAAUGAUUUAUAAAUUAAUGAUGUAUUUCAUCGGUUUUUCAAUAAUAAUAAUAAUAAUUAAUCAA